rnacentral:sRNA from 1 species
CAUUAGUCUAAUGAGAUGUUUGCAGCUGGAGCGCAGGGCUGCUGGAGACUAACUGUGAGCUACUAACACGGGUGGAAGAUAGCUUUUGCAAUACUCGGUUUGCAUGUGCUGAAAGUCAUCUGUCUUCUGAGUCAACACUCCCGACCUGGUAAACAACCUGCUCAGGGCUCUGGUGAACAAGCUGUAGAUCAAGUCUCGGGUUCUCAUGACUCCCUUAGCCCUCUCACCUCCGCGGAGUACCCCAGAGCCCGACCUCAGCUCCAUCCCUCAGGACGCAGCCACGGUCCCCAGCUUGGCGGCCCCACAGGCUCUCACAGUCUGCCUCUACAUCAACAAGCAGGCCAAUGCGGGGCCCUAUCUGGAGAGGAAGAAGGUGCAGCAGCUCCCGGAGCAUUUUGGGCCCGAGCGGCCAUCGGCGGUGCUGCAGCAGGCCGUCCAAGCCUGCAUCGACUGCGCCCACCAGCAGAAGCUGGUCUUCUCCCUGGUCAAGCAGGGCUAUGGUGGUGAGAUGGUGUCAGGUAAGGCCUGGGGCAGGUUGCAUGAAGAGGCCAUGGAUGUCUCUCUGCAGAGGAAGCAUCCAUACUCAGGCCUGGAGACAGGAGGUGUGGCCAGGGUCUGUCCUUCAUCUGCUGGGCUUCUAGGGUCUUUAUGAGCCUGUGAGCUAAAAGCCUCUCUCAGGGCUCAGGGAGAGGAUGAUUCCACGCCCGGGUAAGAAGACUGGAUUUCUGAUCCUCAUCUUGACUCUUCUCCUUCUCCCACUUCCCACUUCCAACUCACCGUUUUUUGCUUUUUUUUCUCCACUUCAAAAUAUAUCCAGAAUCCUUUUGCUCCACUUCAAAAUAUAUCCAGAGUCCAACCACCUUUCACCACCCACCGCAACCUCCCUGGUUCUUUAAAAAUCUAAGUCAGAUCAUGCCCCUCCUCUGCCCUAAACCCUCCUCCAAUGUCUCCCAUGUCACUCCAAGUAAAAGCCCAAGUCCUUACAAAAUCCCACAGGCCCUGUGUGACCUGGCCCUGGCUACCUCUUUAAUUUCUUGGUUACUUCUCUCUUGUUCCCCACUCUGUUCUAGCAGAGAUGACCUCAUGGAUGUCCUUUAGGUUCUACUCAAAUGCCACUCUAUCCAAGAAUCCUUUUCUGACCCCUUGUCUAAUAUAUCGCCCUUGUCACCCUCCAUUCUUUUAUUUAUUUAUUUAUUUAUUUAUUUAUUUAUUUUGAGACAGGAUCUCACUCUGUCGCCUAGGCUAGAGUGCAGUGGCACGAUCACGGCUCACUGCAGCCUCGAUCUUCUGGGCUCAAGCGAUCUUCCGACCUCAGCCCCACAAGUGGCUGGGACUGCAGGAACAUGCCGCCAAGCCUGGCUAAUUUUUUACAAUUUUUUGUAGAGAUGAAUGCCUCACUAUGUUACCCAGGCUGGUCUCAAACUCCUGAGCUCAUGUGAUCCACCUGCCUCCCAAAUGCUGGGAUUACAGGCAUGAGCCAUCGCACCCGGCCUCUCUGUACUUCCUUACUCUGCUCCAUUCCUUCUUCAUAGCACUUACCACCAUGCAGGGCAGUGGGGAAACAUCAUGGCUUCAACCCCAUCUCAGGGCAUGUCUUGUUAUUCAAGAUCCUUCAGAGUCAGAGAAAUCCCUUCUUCCAUGGUCACGGCCCUCCUCCAGUUUUAUCCCCUGAUGUGAUGUGAUAGAAAGGGCACUUCACCUCUGUGGUCCCAAAGAACCCAUGACCCUAGUCUAAUCAUGAGAAAAAAAGACAAAUCCAAACGGAGGGACAUUUUACCCUGAGCAGUACUCUUCAAAGCUAUUAGAGUGAUGAAAAACAAGGCAAGACUGAGAAACAGUCACAGACCAAGGAGACGAAGGAGACGUGACAACUAAAUGCAAUGUGGUGUCCUGGGUGGGAUCCCCACCAGAAACAGGACCUUGUGAACAAACAGGUGAAAUCCAAAUAUAGUCUGCUUAGCAACAAAAAAAAAAUGAACAAAGAAAAAUCCUCACCACGGCCGAUUGACUUGCGGUUUUCUCCAGUGCCCGGCUCUAAGCUGACAUCUCUCUGGUUUUCCAGUCUCGGCUUCCUUUGAUGGCAAACAGCACCUGCGGAGCCUGCCUGUGGUGAACAGCAUCGGCUAUGUCCUCCGCUUCCUCGCCAAGCUGUGCCGAAGCCUCCUGUGCGAUGACCUCUUCAGCCACCAGCCCUUCCCCAGGGGCUGCAGUGCCUCUGGGAAAGUCCAGGAGAAAGAGGAAGGGAGGAUGGAAUCAGCCAAGACAGUCACCACCGAAGAGUACCUGGUGAACCCUGUGGGCAUGAACCGCUACAGCGUGGACACCUCCGCCUCCACCUUUAACCACAGGGGCUCCUUGCACCCCUCCUCCUCGCUGUACUGCAAGAGGCAGAACUCUGGAGACAGCCACCUUGGGGGUGGUCCUGCUGCCACCGCUGGUGGUCCCCGCACUAGCCCCAUGUCUUCUGGUGGCCCCUCGGCACCUGGGCUGAGGCCUCCAGCCUCCAGCCCCAAGAGAAACACGACCUCUCUUGAAGGAAACAGAUGUGGUAAUGUAAUGCAUGCAUCAGCUUCCCAUUGACUUAACAUCCCUUGCCCUUGCGCGGGGAGCACAGCAUCUGGGGAAGGGGGAGUGUGGCUGUUUAAACGUGGGACUGCUGGGAGAUCAGAAAUUUCCACAAGCCCUUUCAUGGAUCUUGAGGUUCUCAAAAACAGCCAAACUCAACCUUUGAUAAGCAAAGAAAAUCGUGUAUUAGGGCAGGCUAGGCCACAGGAUACAUAGACUCCAAAAUGUACACAGGCUCAAAUACCAUAGAAAUUUUUGUUCGAGAGCCAAAGGUGAAUGUUCCUGAUUCAUGGAUGCAUCUCAAUACAGGGACAUAGGCUCCAUCUAUUUUGUGGCUCUGCCACCCUCUACAGCCUUCAUGCCCCAUACAUUAGGGAAUAGAAAGGGAAAGAAGGUGUGGAGAAGACACAGAUGCUUCCCUGCAAUCUGAAAGUGAUGCUCAUGACUUCCACUCACAUCUCAUUGGCAAAAGCUGGUCAUUUUGCCACACUUAACCAUAAGGAACUCUGGAAGCUGUAGGUUAGCUCUGCCCAGGAGAAAGGAGAACCAGACCUUGGUAAAGAAUUGUCUCUUGCAUAGGAAGUGUCACCUUCAGGAUACAAAUACAUGAGCAGAGGCAGAGUUAGGCAAAAUUCCCCCAAUGCUGGUUGUAAUGCCACUUCUGUCUCAUCCACUAAAGAAAGCUUGUUGGAAUGCAGUCUACAAAAGCGCUAUAAGGGCUAAAGGAUUAUAGUAAUAGCUUGAAGGCCCUUCUGAUUGAUGUUUUAAAAAAUCAUUUUCAAGCUUCAGUAUUUUGAUAGUGCCUAAAGGCCAUAGAGUAUAGUGGAUAAUCACUGGGACUAGAGCCAGACAGCCUGGGCUGAGAUGCUGGAUCUGCUGCUUCCUGCCUACCUUUUGCAAGUCUGAACUUACCUGUGCUUCAGUUUCCUCACCUAUAAAAUUGUGAUAAUAAUAAUGGCAGCACCUGCCUCAUAGGAUUGUUGGGAGGAUUAAAUGAGUUCAUACAUGCAUUUAGCACAAGACCUAGGAGGUAAUAAGAGCUCAAUAAAUGUUAGUAGUUACAGCAUAGAUCUUUUUAACACAUCCCUUAACAGAUCACAGCCCAUCAGCUCCACAGCUGAGAACUGCUGAAGAAAGAAGGCCCCAGGCCAAGGAGUCUGGGAGUCUUCAUCUUGCCACCCUGUAGCCCCUCAGUGGGCAGGCUCUGUCUUCUGUGGCAAGUCACAUUUCUCCCCUGAGCCUAGGAUCCUUCCACCAGUGACCCCAGCAAGCCGCACACGUGAGCUAUUUUGUAUGAUUCAAGACCCUCCACACAUUCUCUUCCAAGAGCCUCAUCCAACCCAGAUGAGCGUGGCCCUGACCAGCUUCCCCUGGCCAAGGAUGGAGACGUGAGAAGGGGCCCCUUGCCGGAGAGGCGUUCUGAGGGGUAGAGCGCAGAUUCUCUCUCCACAGCAGCUCUUACCAAAUGUAGAGAUGCCCUGCAGGCCACUUUCCAACACUGUCACACAGGGCCAUGAGCCAGGCAGAUUAAGUGAGCAGAGCCUUAUUUUCCAAAGGAGAGCAACAUUGUUCCAUUUGAUUCCUAAGAACAAGAGAAAGGGACAAGAUCUUUCACGAACCAACACUGUAAAGUAAACCAGGGGCAGCCUUGAUUUCAUAGGUUUGUCCCCAGUGUUAGCUUAAUAUCUGGCAUGUGGUAGGUGUUCAAUAAACAUGCAUCAUGUCUGUGCC